rnacentral:rRNA from 1 species
UUUAUUGCUGAAAGAUGGCCUCGCGUCUGAUUAGCUGGUUGGUGAGGUAACGGCCCACCAAGGCGACGAUCAGUAGCCGGUCUGAGAGGAUGAACGGCCACAUUGGGACUGAGAUACGGCCCAGACUCCUACGGGAGGCAGCAGUGGGGAAUAUUGGGCAAUGGGGGAAACCCUGACCCAGCAACGCCGCGUGAAGGAAGAAGGCCUUCGGGUUGUAAACUUCUUUUACCAGGGACGAAAAAGAUGACGGUACCUGGAGAAAAAGCAACGGCUAACUACGUGCCAGCAGCCGCGGUAAUACGUAGGUUGCAAGCGUUGUCCGGAUUUACUGGGUGUAAAGGGCGUGUAGGCGGAGAUGCAAGUUGGGAGUGAAAUCCAUGGGCUCAACCCAUGAACUGCUCUCAAAACUGUAUCCCUUGAGUAUCGGAGAGGCAAGCGGAAUUCCUAGUGUAGCGGUGAAAUGCGUAGAUAUUAGGAGGAACACCAGUGGCGAAGGCGGCUUGCUGGACGACAACUGACGCUGAGGCGCGAAAGCAUGGGGAGCAAACAGGAUUAGAUACCCUGGUAGUCCACGCUGUAAAACGAUGAAUACUAGGUGUGGGAGGACUGACCCCUUCCGUGCCGCAGUUAACACAAUAAGUAUUCCACCUGGGGAGUACGACCGCAA